ACACGUGGGUAAUCUGCCCUUCGGCGGGGGACAACAGUCCGAAAGGAUUGCUAAUACCGCAUACGUCGGCGAGGAUGUCCUUGUCGGGAAAGCCGGCCUCUUCAUAAAGCUGGCACCGAGGGAUGAACCCGCGGCCCAUCAGCUAGUUGGUGAUAACGGCCCACCAAGGCAAAGACGGGUAGCUGUCUGAGAGGAUGAUCAGCCACACUGGGACUGAGACACGGCCCAGACUACGGGAGGCAGCAGUGGGGAAUAUUGGGCAAUGGCGCAAGCCUGACCCAGCCACGCCGCGUGAGUGAUGAAGGCCUUCUCGUAAAGCUCUGUGGGGAGGGACGAAAAAACGCUGCCAAUAUCCAGCGAACUGACGGUACCUCCUUAGCAAGCACCGGACUCCGUGCCAGCAGCCGCGGUAGGUGC
rnacentral:rRNA from 1 species